rnacentral:rRNA from 1 species
UACGGAGGGAGCUAGCGUUGUUCGGAAUUACUGGGCGUAAAGCGCACGUAGGCGGCUUUGUAAGUUAGAGGUGAUAGCCUGGAGCUCAACUCCAGAAUUGCCUUUAAGACUGCAUCGCUUGAAUCCAGGAGAGGUGAGUGGAAUUCCGAGUGUAGAGGUGAAAUUCGUAGAUAUUCGGAAGACACCAGUGGCGAAGGCGUCUCACU